GCUGGGUGUGGUGGUGCACACCUGUAAUCCCAGCAACUUGGGAGGCUGAGGCAGGAGGAUCACCAAGUUGGAGAUGAGCCUCAGCAAUUUAGCAAAACUCUCAGCAACCUAGUGAGACCCUGUCUCAA
rnacentral:sRNA from 1 species